GAGGGAGGGAGGGAGGGAGGGAGGGAGGGAGGGAGGGGUGGAGGAGUGGAUGCUGAGGAGCCUGGUAGGAAGGAGAGGUGAUGGUGUUGUUGGUAUUAUGAAGGGAGGGAGGAGUCUGGUAGGAAGGAGAGGUGAUGGUGUUGUUGGUAUUAUGAAGGGAGGGAGGAGUCUGGUAGGAAGGAGAGGUGAUGGUGUUGUUGGUAUUAUGAAGGGAGGGAGGAGUCUGGUCGGAAGGAGAGGUGAUGGUGUUGUUGGUAUUAUGAAGGGAGGGAGGAGUCUGGUAGGAAGGAGAGGUGAUGGUGUUGUUGGCAUUAUGGAGUGAGGGAGGGAGGGAUGGAUGCAGAGCAGAGGUGGAGGAGUCUGGAAGGAAGGUGAGGUGAUGGUGUUGUUGGCAUUAUGGAGCGAUGGUGGAGGGAUGGAGGGAGUGGUAGAGGAGUCUGGUAGAAAGGAGAGGUGAUGGUGUUUUUGGGGUUAUGGAGGGAGGGAUGGAUGCAGAGGUGGAGGAGUCUGGUAGGAAGGAGAGGUGAUGGUGUUGUUGGCGUUAUGGAGUGAGGGAGGGAGGGAUGGAGAAGUGGAGGAGUCUGGUAGGAAGGAGAAGUGAUUGUGUUGUUGGCAUUAUGGGGCCCCUG